UCUUCCGUAGUAUAGUGGUCAGUAUGUGAGCUUGUCAAUGGAUUUCAUUGAUCCAGAAAACAAUCGCUCGAGACCCGGGUUCAAUUCCCGGCGGGAGAG